rnacentral:rRNA from 1 species
AUGGAAUUAAGAUUUCCCAGGUUUAGCCAAGGCUUAGCUCAGGACCCCACUACUCGUCAUAUUUGGUUUGGUAUUGCUACCGCACAUGAUUUCGAAAGUCAUGAUGAUAUUACUGAAGAAUGUCUUUAUCAGAACAUUUUUGCUUCUCACUUUGGGCAAUUAGCAAUAAUCUUUCUAUGGACGUCCGGAAAUCUGUUUCAUGUAGCUUGGCAAGGAAAUUUUGAAUCAUGGAUACAGGAUCCUUUACACGUAAGACCUAUUGCUCAUGCGAUUUGGGAUCCUCAUUUUGGUCAACCCGCUGUGGAAGCCUUUACUCGAGGAGGUGCUGCUGGUCCAGUGAAUAUUGCUUAUUCUAGAGUUUAUCAGUGGUGGUAUACAAUAGGAUUACGCACCAAUGAGCAUCUUUAUAUUGGAGCUCUUUUUCUAUUAUUUCUUUCUACGCUGUCCUUAAUAGCGGGUUGGUUACAUCUACAACCCAAAUGGAAACCAAGCCUUUCGUGGUUCAAAAACGCGGAAUCUCGUCUCAAUCAUCAUUUGUCAGGACUUUUCGGGGUAAGUUCUUUGGCUUGGACAGGACAUUUAGUUCAUGUUGCUAUUCCCGCAUCCAGGGGGUACGUUCAAUGGAAUAAUUUCUUAGAUGUAUUACCCUAUCCCCAGGGGUUGGGACCCCUUUUGACGGGUCAAUGGAAUCUUUAUGCCCAAAACCCUGAUUCGAGUAAUCAUUUAUUUGGUACCGCUCAAGGAGCAGGAACUGCCAUUCUAACUCUUCUUGGGGGACAUCCACAAACGCAAAGUUUGUGGCUGACCGAUAUGGCUCACCAUCAUUUAGCUAUUGCAUUUAUUUUUCUCAUUGCCGGUCACAUGUAUCGAACUAACUUCAGAAUUGGGCACAAUAUUAAAGAUCUUUUAGAAGCGCAUACUCCUCCGGGGGGUCGAUUAGGGCGUGGGCAUAAGGGCCUUUAUGACACAAUCAACAAUUCGAUUCAUUUUCAGUUAGGUCUUGCUCUAGCUUCUUUAGGGGUUAUUACUUCCUUAGUAGCUCAACAUAUGUACUCUUUACCUCCUUAUGCAUUCAUAGCACAAGACUUUACUACUCAAGCUGCUUUAUAUACUCAUCACCAAUAUAUUGCAGGGUUCAUCAUGACAGGGGCUUUUGCUCAUGGAGCUAUUUUUUUCAUUAGGGAUUACAAUCCAGAACAGAAUGAGGAUAAUGUAUUGGCAAGAAUGUUAGACCAUAAAGAAGCUAUCAUAUCUCAUUUAAGUUGGGCUAGCCUCUUUCUAGGGUUCCAUACCUUGGGCCUUUAUGUUCAUAACGACGUCAUGCUUGCUUUUGGUACUCCAGAAAAGCAAAUCUUGAUCGAACCUAUAUUUUCCCAAUGGAUACAAUCUGCUCAUGGCAAGACGACAUAUGGGUUCGAUAUACUCUUAUCUUCAACGAAUGGCCCCGCUUUCAAUGCGGGUCGAAGCCUAUGGUUGCCCGGAUGGUUGAAUGUUGUUAAUGAGAAUAGUAAUUCGCUUUUCUUAACAAUAGGACCUGGGGAUUUCUUGGUUCAUCAUGCUAUUGCUCUAGGUUUGCAUACAACUACAUUGAUUUUAGUAAAGGGCGCUUUAGAUGCACGCGGUUCCAAAUUAAUGCCAGAUAAAACGGAUUUUGGAUAUAGUUUUCCUUGUGACGGCCCAGGGCACGGCGGUACUUGUGAUAUUUCUGCUUGGGACGCAUUUUAUUUGGCAGUUUUAUGGAUGUUAAAUACCAUUGGGUGGGUUACUUUUUAUUGGCAUUGGAAACAUAUCACAUUAUGGCAGGGCAACGUUUCACAAUUUAAUGAAUCCUCCACUUAUUUGAUGGGAUGGUUAAGAGAUUACCUAUGGUUAAACUCUUCACAACUUAUCAAUGGAUAUAAUCCUUUUGGGAUGAAUAGUUUAUCGGUAUGGGCGUGGAUGUUCUUAUUUGGACAUCUUGUUUGGGCUACUUGAUUUAUGUUCUUAAUUUCCUGGCGGGGGUAUUGGCAGGAAUUAAUUGAGACUUUAGCAUGGGCUCAUGAACGCACACCUUUAGCUAAUUUAAUUCGCUGGAGAGAUAAGCCCGUGGCUCUUUCCAUUGUGCGAGCAAGAUUGGUUGGAUUAGCUCACUUUUCCGUGAGUUAUAUAUUCACUUAUGCAGCUUUCUUGAUUGCCUCAACAUCAGGCAAGUUUGGUUAA